AUGAAAGAUGAGAUAGUAGAAGAAGAAGAAGAUGAAGAGGCCCUAAUAGAGCAGAGAAGAAUACAAAGGCAAGCAAUUGUUCAGAAAUAUAAAUAUCUUGCUGACGAUAGCAAUAGGUCUGUGCCAUCUGAACCCAGCAGCCCCCAGAGUAGUACUCGUACACGGUCACCUUCUCCAGAUGACAUUUUGGAAAGGGUAGCUGCUGAUGUUAAAGAGUAUGAAUGGGAAAAUGUUGACACAUUUGAGGCCUUGGUAAAAGCCAAGCAUAAUCUAAUGACAGUUGAACCAAAUAAUGGGUCAGCUCAGAAAAAGCUGUUGGCACUUGAUAUGUUUACAGAAUCUGAUUAUAUGUUUGCUGCAUAUUUUGAUAGUGCUCAUCUUCGGGCUGCUGGCGUUGGAAAAGACUUUAAAGAGAAUCCUAACCUCAGGGAUAACUGGACUGAUGCAGAAGGCUAUUAUCGUGUGAACAUAGGUGAAGUGUUAGAUGAGCGCUAUAAUGUGUAUGGCUACACUGGUCAAGGUGUAUUCAGUAAUGUCGUACGAGCCAGAGAUAAUGCAAGAGCCAACCAAGAAGUGGCUGUAAAGAUCAUCAGAAACAAUGAACUCAUGCAGAAAACUGGUUUAAAAGAACUCGAAUUCUUGAAAAAACUUAAUGAUGCUGAUCCUGAUGACAAAUUUCAUUGUUUGCGGCUCUUCAGACACUUUUAUCACAAACAGCAUCUCUGUCUCGUAUUUGAGCCGCUCAGCAUGAAUUUACGAGAGGUGUUAAAAAAAUAUGGUAAGGAUGUUGGUCUUCAUAUUACAGCUGUAAGGUCCUAUAGUCAGCAGUUGUUCUUGGCAUUGAAACUCCUUAAAAGAUGCAAUAUCCUACAUGCUGAUAUCAAGCCAGACAAUAUCCUGGUUAAUGAAUCAAAAACUAUUUUAAAGCUCUGUGAUUUUGGGUCGGCUUCACAUGUUGCGGAUAAUGACAUAACUCCUUAUCUUGUCAGUCGAUUUUAUCGUGCUCCUGAAAUCAUUAUAGGUAAAAGCUAUGACUAUGGCAUAGAUAUGUGGUCUGUAGGUUGUACCUUAUAUGAACUCUAUACUGGAAACAUUUUAUUUACUGGCAAAACCAACAACCAUAUGUUGAAGCUCGCCAUGGAUCUCAAAGGAAAGAUGCCAAAUAAGAUGAUUCGGAAAGGUGUAUUCAAAGACCAACAUUUUGAUCAAAACCUCAAUUUCAUGUACAUAGAAGUUGAUAAAGUAACAGAGAGGGUAAGUCUCUUUUUAGUUUGCAAGAUUAAAUGAUAAUCUUAUUGUUAACAAAAGACCUGGGUCAUACUAGGAGCUAUGAAUAUUUUGAAACAUUAAAAUAAUUUCUUUUUGGUGUUGGCUGAUUCCUGAAUAAAAUGCAUCAAGUUGUGAAAAA